rnacentral:rRNA from 1 species
GAUGAACGCUAGCGGGAGGCCUAACACAUGCAAGCCGAGCGGUAUAGAAUCUUCGGAUUUUAGAGAGCGGCGUACGGGUGCGGAACACGUGUGCAACCUACCUUUAUCUGGAGGAUAGCCUUUCGAAAGGAAGAUUAAUACUCCAUAAUAUAUUGAUUGGCAUCAAUUAAUAUUGAAAGCUCCGGCGGAUAGAGAUGGGCACGCGCAAGAUUAGUUAGUUGGUGAGGUAACGGCUCACCAAGACGAUGAUCUUUAGGGGCCUGAGAGGUGAUCCCCACACUGGUACUGAGACACGGACCAGACUCCUACGGGAGGCAGCAGUGAGGAAUAUUGGACAAUGGGUGCAAGCCUGAUCCAGCCAUCCCGCGUGAAGGACGACUGCCCUAUGGGUUGAAACUUCUUUUGUAUAGGGAUAAACCUCUCCUCCGUGAGGAGAGCUGAAGGUACUAUACG